CAUGUUUCCGCUCUCACACACACUAAUGUGAUGUCGCACAUUCGCCUCGCCGUUCCUUGUGACAUUGAUCCAGCCGCGACGACCACACACAAUUGACUUGACGUUUAUGGAUGACUCACCUUCAUCUCCAGCGACAGUGAAGGCAGCAUGAUGAUCAUGCAUCAUCAAUGAUCCCCUUGAACACAAUCCACAAAUAACUGAAGAAACAACCAACUUGAACUGACACAGGGAUAUUAACAAGUAGCCUCAAGAAGAGCUUGUCGGAGCUCCAUGAUGAGGUCAUCAACCUUAAGGAGGAAAAUAGAGCACUGUGCUAGGAUACCAAGGAACUACAAGACGAUACCAAGGUCAUUAUCGUUAAGUUCACUAAUAGGGAAUUCAAAACCACACUGCUAAAACAGGGAAAGAAGUUGAAAGGUACAAACGUUUACAUGAAUCAACAUCUGACAAAACGCAACGCUGACAUCGCCAAGAAAGCACCAGAUUUGAGGACGCAGGGAAAGAUACAAAGAGGCAACGGCAAAAUUUACAUCAGGGGUCACCAACACGGUGCCCGCGUGUUGUUGUUGAACGUUGUUUCUUUCUUUUGUUCUGUUUCUGCUGGUGUUGUUGUUGUUUUUGUUGUUGUCGUUGUCUCUCUCUGUAUUGUCCCCCUCUCUUGUCCCCACACUCCCCACUGUGUCUCCUUUUCUCUUCUUCUCUAUCCCCUCCUGCUCCGGCCUGGCCGCUCCAAAAUUGCAUUGCAAUAAAACAAAAUAAAGUCAAAUACCAACUAUGCAACAGGAGAGCAAGUCUGUUGAGCAUGUAAGGCUGUUUUCCACAUUGACCGGACACGACAAGGGAAGGAAAAAAAAUAGUUUGAGUUGAAAGUGAACCUCUUUAACCUCGCCCUCGUCAACCCCGUGGUGUGUUUACUGAACCUAAGACAACCAAGGAUGAUGUAUUUUUUUACAUCAGAUUUGUUUGAUGCUGCCUUUUAAACAUGUUGACUUGAAGCGUUGAACUCUCUCCUAAAAAAAAAAAAAAAUGUUAUCUGGAGUCCUUGACUGCUUGUGUUGUUUUCCAAGCUCUGCCUUAUGACUGUUGACUCUUCACCGUGACUCAGUGUAACCUCCACCAGCGACACGUCCGCCACAAAUACAUCCAAAGCGACACACUCAUACAUCAGUACAGUGCUGCUCAAGUACUGGGGCGUGUGCCCCCAAUUAGCCGUGAGAGGCAGGCGGGGCUUUCAGUAUGAGUGCAGACCUGCCAACUUGUACGCAUUUUUCAUCCAAGACAUGCAUUGCGAUCCUUGAAUAUACCUGUACGCAUUCAAAGAAAAAAAACAUUUUAAAAAAGCUUAAAAAGGUAAAAAUGUUAUAAUAAAAUAAAAUAAAAUCAACCAGAUACAAACAAAAAGUAAAAAAGAAUCUGCCUGUAGGCUUUUCUGCUCUCAAAGAAUGCAUUUUGUUGUGUUUCCCUGGUUCCAGUUUGGAGUUCAGGUAUUGAUAAGGGCUGUGGUUGGUUGGCUUGUGAAACGUUAUUGCCUGCAUGUAUAUGACUCGUUCAGAGGGUGUACAGACCACCUCUGGUUUCGGCUCAACGUUUGCAAUAAAAUGUUGUUACGCAUUAUAUUAGUUCCUGGUGCAAUAACACUCCCCUUCUCCCUUUAAUGACCUUUGUUGGCUGGCAACCAAGCUAACAAGCUAACAAGCUAAAUAGUCGAUGAGAUUUGCUCACGGAUUGCUGACAUCACGUCACAUGCUCAACCCUAACAAACAGCAAUAUCUAUUGGCUCGCGGCACAUUGUAGAAAUAAAAUUAAUAAUGAAAUUAAACCAAAAAAAAAAAUAAAAAAUUGGAAAAACAGAGUAAAGCAUGCAUAAGGUGAUACUAAAAAGCUAAAUAUUGAUAUUAAUACCUAAAAUAAUGUAAACUUAAUAAUCACGUUAGAAACCUAGGGGUAAUACACUCUUGAUCAAAAUGUUAAGACUCGUGAAAAAUUGCACUGUUGAAUCUUAAGGAGGUUCUACGUAGACCUUGAAAAUGCAAAAAGAAGAAAUGGGAGUGAGACAAAAAAUGUUUGCAUGUUUACAAAUGUAAGCAAUUUAUUGCAAACCGGCAUGAAAGUGAAAUAGGCUGUUCAUCAGCUGAUCAAACAUUGAAGAGCACAGCCUUUAAAAGGCAAAAGCUUCGCAAGAAUACGGAUUGAAUGUGAUUUUCUUCACACUGUUAUGAUCUCUUGAUGGCAAAGGCAAAAAAGCUUUCUCUCUUUGAACACGGUGGGAUUGUUGAGCUGCACAAGCAAGGCCUCUCACAGCGCACCAUUGCUGCUGAGGUUGGACGCAGUAAGACAGUCAUUUGAAGCUUCUUCAAACAUCCUGAGGGUUAUGGGAGAAAAAAGUCAAGUGGUAGACCCAAAAAAAUGUCACCAACCCUGAGCCGGAGGAUCCCAUUGGCUGUCCGUCAAGACACAUGACCAUCCUCGGCCCAAAUGAAGGUUGUUACUGGUGCCGAGUGCAGUCCAAAAACCAUCAGACAGACGCCAUCUGCCAGAGAAGGCUUUUAAGAACGAAAGAAGGUCUUCAAAGCCCUCACCAAUGGAACAAUGGAGAUUGGAGGUUGCACAGGGGUGUCAAACGGCAGCUGGCUAUAUGGAGAUGUUGACUGAAGGCCCUCAUCUGUGUGGUAAUGACUGGCUUUUUCAAUAUGACAACAUUUCAGUUCACAAUGCCCACCUGACAUAGGACUUCUUCCAGAAGAAUAAGCUCACUUUUUUGGACAAUCCUGCAUGUCAAUCCAACUGAGAACAUUUGGGGAUGGAUGGCAAGGGAAGUUUACAAAAAUGGACAUCAGUUACAGACAGCGGAUGUCCUCCGUGAAGCCAUCUUCACCAC